rnacentral:tRNA from 1 species
GCGCGUGUAGCUCAGCGGUAGAGCAUUCCUCUGAUAAGGGAAGGGCGGAUGGUUCGACUCCAUCCACGCGCA